rnacentral:rRNA from 1 species
AAUGAACGUUGGCGGCGUGGAUUAGGCAUGCAAGUCGAGCGAGAACCCCGCAAGGGGGGGCCGCGGCGGAAGGGGAAGGAAUGUGGAGGUUAUCUGCCCUCCGGGUCGGGAUUGCCGCGGGGAACUGCCGGGAAAAACUGAUAACAAUACCGGAUCCAAGGUGUGGUUCCGGCCGGGGGAUAGUCUGCCGUCUAUUAGCUAGUUGGGGGGGUAAUGGCCUACCAAGGCAUUGGUGGGUAGCAGGAGUGAGGGCACGACCCGCGUCAGUGGGACUGAGACACUGCCCAGCCACCUACGGGUGGCUGCGGGCGAGAAUCGUCGGCAAUGGGCGCAAGCCUGACCGAGCGACGCCGCGUGUGGGAUGAAGGCCUUCGGGUUGUAACCCACUGUCAGGGGGGAUGAAAUGCAGGUGGGUUCUCCCAUCUGUUUGACAUAGCCUCAGAGGAAGGACGGGCUAAGUUCGUG